ACAGCUCUCCCUGUGAGGGAAAACAUCGCUGCGUCUGUGAGGGGAGAGCGCCCCAUGAUCCCGAGGGCGGGAAGGCGCUCCCGCCGUGAGGGACGCGGCCCCACGUCCCUAAAGGGCUCCUACAGAGCCCUCACAAGAGGUCAUUCCCGUCUCUGUUUCAGAUUAGAAAUGUGUUCAGAGAGCAGUGUCCGAAGGGCACCGUCUCCUCCUCCAGGACUGGUGCUGGCACACACACACCUGGACUCUCCAGCCUCCGCAGCACAGAGCCUGUCAAGCCUCCUGCUAAUACCACUCCAGAUGCUGAUGGCUCUCUUUCCCAGGCAAAGGGGGCUGGAAUCUCCAAGGACAACCAUUUUUCCAGCCAUGCCUUUGGUUUGAAGCCAUCCCCUCUUGUCCUGUCACUCCAGGUGCUUGUGAAAUGUCCCUCUCCAUUUUUCUUGGAGGCUCCCUUCAGGUACUGGAAGGUGCUGAAAAAUGGAUGGAAAUCUGUCACUCAAAAAUCAUCUAACUUGGGUGGAAAAGGACAGAUGGGUCACUAAGGAAAACAUCUGUGCUAAGUAGUCCCUGGAGAGCUGAGGCAGUAGGAAGCAAGGCUGAAUGACAAGAUUCCCAAAUCCCAGUGCCAGUGCUGGUGCUGGCUGCCCUCAGGCAUCUCCCAAUGAGGGAACACGUGGACAACCCCCAGCGUGACCCAUGCCACCAUCAGCACUCAAAGUUCCUCAUGAAUGGGAAGAUUGUGUUUUUCUCACAACUACUCCACUCAGAUCCAUCAGCUCUCAGGAGGCAAUGCCAAAACCAACAGGUGGCUGCCAUAUUUGGGUUGCUGGCAAUUCAUAUUCCUCCUACUUAAUGGGAGAGGAAGAAGCUGUUGAUGUGAAGUGGCACAGACGGGUCCUGUGUUAUGAAAGCCUCGUCCUUCAUCAUCUGACUCGGGAACCAAAUGUGCUCUCACACACUGCUGCAGCCAAAACAUAUUGCAAACUUGAACAACACAUUUAUUUUUGACUCAC